rnacentral:rRNA from 1 species
GACGAACGCUGGCGGCGUGCUUAACACAUGCAAGUCGAACGGUGAAGCGCCUUCCUUUUUGGUGGGUGUGGAUGAGUGGCGAACGGGUGAGUAACACGUGAGUAACCUGCCCCCUUCUUCUGGAUAACCGCAUGAAAGUGUGGCUAAUACGGGAUAUUCUGGGUCUGUCGCAUGAUGGGUCUGGGAAAGAUAUUGUUUCGGUGGGGGAUGGGCUCGCGGCCUAUCAGCUUGUUGGUGGGGUGAUGGCCUACCAAGGCGGUGACGGGUAGCCGGCCUGAGAGGGGGGAGGGAAAAAGUGGGAGUGGGAAACGGCCCAAACUCAAAGGGGAGGAAGGGGGGGGAAAAAUUGCAAAAGGGGGGAAAGCCGGAUGAGGGGCGGCGGGGGGGGGGGGGGGGGCCUGGGGUGGGGAACCUUUUGGGCAAGGGAAGGAGGCCGGCCUCGUUGGGGGGGGGGUUGACGGUAGGGGGAAAAGAAGCCCCGGCUAACAACGG